CUACGGGCCGCACCAGUUAAGGAAAUUUUUCAAUGCCCGCAAGGGUGAACGAGUAAGCCAGAGUGUUUCCAUUAGGAAACUUUUAUCUGCUGUAAAAAGGCAGAUGAAUAAGGACUGGGCAAGACCGGUGCCAGCCGCCGCGGUAAUCCCGGUGGUCCAAGUCGCAUCCACAAUUAUUGGGUCUAAAACAUCCGUAGCUUGUUUUGUAAGUCUCUUGUGAAAUUUCAUAUCUCAAGUAUGAAGCGUGCAAGAGAUACUACAUUGCUAGAGACUGGAAGACGCAAAGAGUAUGAAGAAGGUAGCGGUAAAAUGUGUUAAUCUUUUUCAGACUAACAAUGGCGAAGGCACUUUGCGAGUACAGAUCUGACAGUGAGGGAUGAAGGCUAGGGGCGCAAAAGGGAUUAGAUACCCCCGUAGUC
rnacentral:rRNA from 1 species